GUUGCUUCCAGUGAUGAACAUCUAUCAACUAAAAAAUCAGCGACUUGCUUCUUGUAUAUUUCCCAGUAAUCCCCAGCUUUUUCGUGUUCAGCAUUGUGAUCCAUCAUUCGCUUAAUGAUAUCAUACUUGAGUGGAUCAGUCUUUUUUAAUAUUCUACAGUUAGUUUCGGUGAAAGUUUCGAGAAAAUAGAGCAUUCCUUGGCAUGCUCUUCACCAAAGCCACACAUUUCAUCGCAAAGAGGUAGAUUACAUCUAGGACAAAGGAUGGGUUCAUCAACCUAGGACAAGAUGUCAAUCAUAAACAUUUCAGGAAUACAAAUAAAUUACCCUUCUCAUACAUUCUAAACAUGUAGGUAAACUGGAAUGAUUUGGACCAUAAGCCAAGGGCUCUUCUUGAAAUAUGAUUUCUCCUGGCUGUAUAUCUCUCGAGGCAACCAUAUAUCUACAUAAUUCAUAUAUUGUUGGUACAUAUUAUAUUUAGAUACAACAGAUCAUGGGAACAUUCUUACGUGCAUACUCAAAAGGGAUGGGCAUGAAAUAUAAGGAAUAACACUUACCGUCCAACUUCUUCAUUGAACUUGACAGUAAAUGGAUAAGGAUCUCCAUCAUCACUUUCAUGCAUGGAUUGAUGCUCCUCUGAGCAGUAUUUUACUUCAGGAUUACUUUUACAAACGGAUGCAACAUCUUUUGAGUUGCAUAUAUAGCAGCCAUUGAUCUCUGUACCUUCUAUAAUUUCCUCAAUCCUUGGACUAGAAACCAAGUCUUCUCCUUCUUCGACUAUUUUAACCC
rnacentral:lncRNA from 1 species